CUGGGAGGCACCGUGUCGUCGUCGUCCCCUUUCCCUUCUCUACUCCGCCGCCGCUCGCUCGCCGGAUCUGUGGAGACUCGUGAGUACGUGACCCCCACGGUGGAUGAGGAUAGGCGGGCCUCGUCCGGCAGCCUGUGCUCUCUGGGACGGGAGGCAGAGCUGGCACCAGGGUUAUGUCCACUGUCCACCUUCGAAUAUGGGGAUGAAGCGCGAGCAAGAAAGAAAGAAAGGCUGCACAACUGGCACUGUAUGAAGAAGACUGUUGAUAUUGACAACAGUCAACAGCCACUUUCUGAAGGGCCUGGAGAACUUGUGCCAAAAGUAACAAUGGAAGUUUGUUCAUGGGAUUGA
rnacentral:misc_RNA from 1 species